rnacentral:rRNA from 1 species
AAUCCAGCCAUGCCGCGUGUGUGAAGAAGGCCUUUUGGUUGUAAAGCACUUUAAGCGAGGAGGAGGAGCUCUUGGUUAAUACCCAAGAUGCUUGGACGUUACUCGCAGAAUAAGCACCGGCUAACUCUGUGCCAGCAGCCGCGGUAAUACAGAGGGUGCAAGCGUUAAUCGGAUUUACUGGGCGUAAAGCGCGCGUAGGUGGCCAAUUAAGUCAAAUGUGAAAUCCCCGAGCUUAACUUGGGAAUUGCAUUCGAUACUGGUUGGCUAGAGUAUGGGAGAGGAUGGUAGAAUUCCAGGUGUAGCGGUGAAAUGCGUAGAGAUCUGGAGGAAUACCGAUGGCGAAGGCAGCCAUCUGGCCUAAUACUGACACUGAGGUGCGAAAGCAUGGGGAGCAAACAGGAUUAGAUACCCUGGUAGUCCAUGCCGUAAACGAUGUCUACUAGCCGUUGGGGCCUUUGAGGCUUUAGUGGCGCAGCUAACGCGAUAAGUAGACCGCCUGGGGAGUACGGUCGCAAGACUAAAACUCAAAUGAAUUGACGGGGG